CCCCGGAACUGCGCGCCGCGGCGCUCAAGCUCACCCUGGCCUCGGUGAGGGAGCGGGAGCCCUUCAAGGGGUGGAUUCGUGACGUGAGGGUCAACUCCUCGCAGGUCCUGCCCGUGGACAGCGGCGAGGUGAAGCUGGACGAUGAGCCGCCCAACAGCGGCGGGGGAAGCCCGUGCGAGGCGGGCGAGGAGGGCGAGGGCGGGGUGUGCCUCAACGGAGGUGUGUGCUCCGUGGUGGACGACCAGGCCGUGUGCGACUGCUCGCGAACCGGCUUCCGCGGCAAGGACUGCAGCCAAGGUCUGGCGCACCUGAUGAUGGGCGACCAAGGUAUGGGCUCUGUUCCUUUUCCACUCUGCUUUCAGUGUUUUCUUGUUCUGUAGCUGCUUUCAAACCAUCACUGCAAAGGAUGGGCAAAUGCUUGCAAAUUAUAUGGCUGCAAAUUAAAUACAUAUCUUUUGUUCACA
rnacentral:lncRNA from 1 species